rnacentral:lncRNA from 1 species
CACGAAGGAGGGGCUGUGGUCCCUGCAGGCCGGGGGCUCACGCUCAGCCGUCUGGUCCCUCUCCAACCUGGUGUCCAGCCCACCAGGCCCAGCACUUCCUGGUGCCUGCUCCGUGCCGGAACAGAACAUCUGACGCUGCACCCACACUCUCCUCUGCACGCUUGCCUGGCUGGUCCUGGGAAGCCAAGAGCACUCAUCAUGUUCCUCAUGGUAACUAUGGCACUAUGGCAACUACAGACCUUGCAGGUGCUGACCAAACCCUGUCCCCAGGUCCCGAAGGAAAUAAAGAUAAAUUUAAAAGUAGUCACAAGAGAUAAAAGAGGCAUGGAAAUAGGUGGCCCAUCCAAAGCCAGGACUCUUCCGCACAUGCUCUGUGGAUCACUCUGGGAAGUCGGUGGGAAUGUAAUGGAGCCACUAAUGUGAAAGGCAUGACAGCUGGACAGGCUGGAUGGCCAGGGGAGAGUGGGCUGCGCGGCACAGACACGCCUGGCCCUGCAGGGACUCCACAGCCCUUCGGGAAUGAACAGCAAAAGAAGAGUGAGUGGCCUGUGGCAGGCAGCAGGCUCAGCCCUGAGGAGGGCAGCCGAGGGCACAGUGGGGUUAGAAGCUGGGCUGGUGGGACGUGGCUGGGAGUGGGUGCAGGGAAGAGGCCAGCUCCACUUGGGUGGGGCCACGUCCCUAGCCGUGGCCAGCCCUGAUGGCAGGACACCAGGCCCUGAGCCCCACUAUGGGUCUUGCUGAGCAAAGGACUGGGCAGUGGCCAGAGAAGGGCCAGAUCUCCCUGCUGGUGCUGGACAGCCAAUCAGGCGUCCUAGGCCCUACUGGCUCAGGCCUGGAGCCCUGCAGGAGGUUGGACGACUUGUGCCAAGGUGGGGACCCACUGGGGCCCGAAUGCUGUGAGCAGCAGGAUGCAGGUGGCUGUGCCCAGUCAGCUCCCCACCAUUUCCCUCCUAUGCCAGGAUAAAGCAGUUGUGCCUGGUCAGCUCCCGACCAUUUCCCUCCUAUGCCAGGAUAAAUGUGCACUAUUCAGGCCAUUUAGGGAAAGAAGGGUGCCUGCACCGGUGUCUUUCGCCCUGCAUGUUGUGCUCAGAGCUUUCCCAGCUGUGCCUGUGGCCCACUGCAGGCCUCCCCAUGGGGCGGCUCUGUGCUCCCUGCAGCUCCGUCCUCGAAGCCUUGGCUCUGGAGUGCCCAGUGCAGCAUUUGCCAAGUGCUGCUGAAUGGCCCCUCCUGGGGUAGGACAGGCACUCUCAAGGCUCUGCUUCCUAGACACCACCAGGAUGGAGACCUGGGGCACCAGCUUGCCAUGUGUCAGUUGAGUUCCUGGGGCAGACCCUCAAAGGAAGGGCGGCCAGCUGAGUGGGGGCUUCUGGGCGCAGGGCAGUCCUUAGACUCUGUUCCUUCCUGGGGCAGGCGGCGCACAGCACUCUCUGUCAUGCUGCUUUAAUUUGCACUUCUUUGAUGACUAGUAAGAUGAAGUAAUUUUUGGCCACGUGUUUAUGAACUGUAUUUCCUCUUUUGUAAAUUACCAGUUCCUGCCUUUUCUCAUCCAUUUAUAGGCAUCUUCACCAUGUUCCUUCUUUGUAAGAGCUUAUUACGUAAUGGAUACAUGACACUCUGGCAUAUUUUCUGCAAACGACAAGGGCAUUAAAAUUCCAGGUACAGCUCUUCAGGCUGUAUUCAUGAGCAGU